rnacentral:rRNA from 1 species
UACGUAGGGUGCAAGCGUUGUCCGGAAUUAUUGGGCGUAAAGAGCUCGUAGGCGGUCUGUUGCGUCGGCUGUGAAAACCCGGGGCUCAACCCCGGGCCUGCAGCCGAUACGGGCAGACUAGAGUUCGGCAGGGGAGACUGGAAUUCCUGGUGUAGCGGUGAAAUGCGCAGAUAUCAGGAGGAACACCUGCGGCGAAGGCGGGUUGCUGGGCUGACACUGACGCUGAGGCGCGAAAGCUAGGGGAGCGAACGGG